AGUCUCUAAUCAACCUGGACGAGAAUAGCCACUGCAGCAGGAUUUCAACCUUGCUGAUAUUUCCAAAUUCCUAACAGGAUCAUCUCCUGUGGACAUAUGUCGAGAUUCAGCAUUGUCUGAGAGAUUUUGACCAAUAAUCUGGAAGGGAAUUAUUUGAGAUGUGAAAGGAAAUUCAGAUCACCCGUGGGGAAAAUAGUACUGUUCUGCUACUGCGCCUGUUUUUCUAUUGAGAAGAAACACAUGACACCAGUACAG